rnacentral:lncRNA from 1 species
UGAGAAAAUACUACGACAAAUUUAUAUUAACGUAACAAGAAAAUCAUCCUUCAAUAGGUUCCAUCAAAACCUUAGACUAUGAAUUUAGAUACUCAUGAUCAAAGUAACAAUAUCCAAAGUAUGUUGCAUAAUUAAAGUACAAAGUAAAGAUGAAAGGAUGUAGAAAUCGAUGAUUCUAACUCCCAACGGGUGAUUCCACAAGCUAUUCUUGCCUCCGGUUGCAAAAGUCCCUUCAAGUGGCAUUUUUAGGUCUAUUUAUAGGUGUAGGAAAAGACCUAAACGUGUAGGCCAAGUCCUAGUCAAACUCGGAAACGAAUUAAGUAUUCAAAACUCGGAUUGGACCUGGCCCCAGGCCUGGCGUCGCCAGCCUAACGCCUGAUGAACCUGGCUCCAAGCCUAGCGUCGCCAGCCUAACGCAUGGUUCUGCUUGGCCUUUGCCUUGCGUCACCAGCCUAUCGCCAGCUUCUCUCAUUCACUGCUCCCGCGCACGCUUUCGACUUGUAGGUCUCCUUUUUCUUCUACUUUCAUCUCCAAUUCACCUACACAUAAAAUGGACCCUAUUACACGCAAAUAAGGUAUACUUUAUCAUUAAAGCAUAUAGAAUGCAAGACGAAUAAUGUGCUAAACCAUGAAUUAUAGCCACACAUCACUGGCACUUCUUAUUUUGUUGUGCCCCUCAUUGAAUCAUCCACAUUCCAUACUCAAUGGGAAAAGAAGCGAACAUGCACAUUCGUAUAUAUAGUUUUGGAACAAAAGCACUUCGAGAAAAUUAAAUUUAGUACGCAUGAAUAGACUUGGUGAGACCUAUCGCUAGCAUUGUCAAAAGAUUAGACUAAGACAAACCUCUUUUCGUAAUAACUGACGUAUAUGGAUCAUGUGGAUCACUUUGUUGUAUUGAUGUUGUACUUAAUAUGCAAAUCAUUCUAAUUAAUACAUGAAAAAGGUUGUGACUUACAAAAUUUGAAUACAGAGUAGUGACCAGUUAUGUUUCCGUUGACAAAGCCAACUAUUGUGCCAUAUGCAGAAGAUGUAUUAGCUACUGCAGAACAUAGGUUACUUCAAUUUACUUCAAUGCAGUCUAAACUUCGAGUGUGGUAGCAUUAGUCAAAUGUGGAACACAAACUUCAGCUCAAAGAUGUUUAAGACCAAAUUAAACUUGAAAAUUAUAGACCAAUACAACAAAUAAAACUAAUAAUUAACUAAAGAUUAAAGCUUUUUGUAAACCCAUUAUUUAAUGUGCAAUUUAUGCCCAAAAAGUUGGAUUGAAGAGCCAAUUUUUCACUAUUUUUCUAGCCUUUAGAUAAUUGGAAUGUUGUGCGAUUCAUUAAAAUUUUACUGCAUGAACAUCUUUGCUGGCAACCCUGCCAAGAUUUUGAAGUUGUAAUAUGACUAUUUUACUUCCCUUUGAACUUUUCAUUCGUAUUCAAACAAACACAUGCAAGAAAAUUAUUAUUUUUCUUGUGUUUCCUUUAUUAAUCUUUCUUAAAACUCAGUCGCUCAUUACUCUUUUAAGACAUGUUUGAGAUUGUACUGUAGACAAUUCCCAGCACAGUGCAUCGUCAUCAUCUUAAAUUAAUUUUUUCAGUGUCAAUAAACAAUUGAUACUGAAGAACGCAAAACUUUGUUAUUCCAAUUUACAAAAGCUAACUCAACUGAUAGGUUUGGUCGUUCAAGAAUUUUUUCAAACACAUAAACAAUAGAAAAUUAAUCUACUGUGUUAAUAAUUGCUUAUUAUUAGGACUUGGUAUUUUAACCUAUUUCGUUUACUGUAUGAACAUGUGCUAAUCAAGUAGUAUUAACUCUUUUGCUUCUCUUAGGAUGAGAACCCACAAAUAAAAAACUUAAGAUAUACAAAAUUCACAUAUAAUUUAAAAUAUUCAAAAGCCACAAAUGUAAAACCCACAAAAAAUAUAAAAAUUCAAUUUUUAGAACAUAUAAAUUGGAUUUGCAAACUCAAAAAAAUAAAACUUUGAGAAAUCCAAAGGUCACAACGUAGAAAAGAAACCCAGAGAUAAAAGUUCAUAUAAAAGAAUCAAUAUGUUGAAGUGGGUAUAAAUAUAUAAUAAAGCCAACUAAUUCAAUAACCAAAGAAAAGCAGUCAAAUUUUCAAAGCAUAUGAUAACUAUAAAUUCAAACUCUAAAAACAAAAAUUAAAAUCCAUACUUUUACAGCAAAGAGACGAAACCCAUGCGGAAGAUGAAAGUCAUGAUAGAAGAAUUACAAGAGACAAAGAUGAGUAAUUACCAGAGUAAUCCGCCAAAGUACAAAGAUCAGAAGAAGAUGAGCAUGGGAAGGGCGACGUCUGUUUGCAGACAAGAGUUUUUGGUAAAGUGUAGGUUAAUUA